rnacentral:rRNA from 1 species
AAACCAGACUCCUACGGGAGGCAGCAGUGGUUUCUCUUGCACAAUUUGGUGAACCCUGCUGCAGCGACGCCGCGUGGGUGAAGGAGCGUUUCGGCGCGUACCGCCCUAUCGGCAGGGCAGAAGGAGGACGGUCCCUGACUAAGACGCCCCGGCUAACUACGUGCCAGCAGCCGCGGUAAUACGUAGGGGGCAAGCGUUAUCCGGAUUUACUGGGUGUAAAGGGGGCGCAGACGGCAGCGCAAGCCAGGAGUGAAAGCCCGGGGCCCAACCCCGGGACUGCUCUGGGAACUGCGCGGCUGGAGUGCAGGAGGGGCAGGCGGAAUUCCUGGUGGAGCGGUGAAAUGCGGAGAGAUCAGGAGGAACACCGGUGGCGAAGGCGGCCUGCUGGACGGCGACUGACGGGGAGGCCCGAAAGCGGGGGGAGCAAACAGGAGGAGAUACCCCCGUAUA